rnacentral:lncRNA from 1 species
UUUUACAGGUUGAAAACAGAAAUUUAUAAAGACUAUAUGAGAGGAUGACUCCCCUUUCACACAGCAAUGAUUGGAGUUCUUUUCAAAUGAGCGGUUUUGGCCUUUAGUUUCGUAAGAGGGAAGAUAAAGCCACUGAUAGCAACUAAAAUGGGACUAUUUGCUAUUAAGUUCGAGGGAAGAGUUAUGGUGUUAAUUGAGCUGUUUAAGGCGGUACCACUAUAUGUCAGGGUCUGUCACAAGAGGAGUCAAAUCUGUGGAAGAGUUUGAUACGUUAACAACACAAAUGAAAAUUUAACAAGAAGUGGUCAGAAAAGACUGUAGUAUCAUAUGCAAAAUUAAUGGUUUACUACAUGCAAUCACUCAUUUUUACUUAUGCAAUUAGGAAGUGACUUAAGGUCUGUUGAUUUUAUUCAUGUCCAUCCAUGUUCCAAGAAUGCUUAGAUCAGGUCCUGGACAUCCUACAGCUCCACUUGUCCAUCAUACUUCUCACUUCGCAGCAGUCUGUCAGAGGCACCCAUACAAUUAUAGAUAAGAGCUGAAGAAGAAAGGACAGAUUCAAGAGCAAGGUGAAAAAGUAUUUUCCCUGUUGACAAAUUUCAAACAAUUAAUAUGGCAGCAUCGUAACCUGACCAAUGCAUUUCGGGAAAGUGAUCAUAUUGGUUUUAUGUUCGCUGAAAUUUAGUUUGUGUGGCUUGGCCCAGGCUCUAAGUUCAUUGAGAAUGCGAUUGGUAAUUGAUCAAAUCGAUAUAAAGUAAAGUGCUUAGUUAAAAGAAGAUUGUCUGCAAAAGCGAUAAUUAUUCUGAGAAUUAAAAUCCCUAAAAGAAGUAAAGUUGAUAGUUAAAAGCCGAUGAAAAACUGUGUAUACCAGGACCAACCAGAGUAUCGGAACAAACGACGGGCCCUGCGGAACUCCCAUAUAAAUAAUCUUUCUGGUGAUUGUCUAUCUUCCACAAAGUUGAAAAUAAAAGUAUAUUGUGUGGAAGCUCAAUCUUAUUCAGUUCGAUUUAGAGAAUUGCCCAGUUAAGGCGUAAUUAAAGGCAUUCUUAAUGCCCAGAGCCACCCCAAUUGUGUGCUUAUUUUCCUGCUCGGAUGAUGUAACAAAGUCUACUAAGCAUUGGAGUGUGCUAUCCGUCCUCUCCCGGAUCAAUUAACUUGUAGAUUCGAGAUAAUAGACUAGUCUCUUGGCAAGCAAUUUGUCGAGAAUCUUGCCCCAGACCAAGAGAAGGGAGAUGAGCCUGCAGCAUUCAGGCAAUCUUGGAUCUAUCUUUAAUUUACCAAUAAGGGCGACCAUAAAUUUUCCAUUAUUUUUUGAAAAGUUCCCACUUUCAGUCAUUUAUUGAAGAACUCCAGGUGCCAAUGACGAUUGAUAUAGAAGAUAUCUCCGAAAAUUUCCACCCGGCGCCUUACCUGAUUAUAGAGCUCUGACGAUAGCAUAGAGUUAAUCUAUUGUGAGUGGAGGAUCAUUAUUGCCAAGUUUCCUCACCGGUACAUAUUUAAAAAUCAACCUCCAGAAAAUGAUGUGACGUAAUACUUUCAACAAUGCCUCUAAACCUAUUCGCAGUUGAACCAACCAUCCUGCUUAGUUUGGACUUUGUCUCAAGCACUCUCCAUUGACGAUCUGAUAAAUAGAGAAGAUAAGUCGAUUUCAAACCGUCUUUGAAGAAAUCUACCCGAAUCAUACUUUUAGAAAAUUUUCUUUUACUGUUUUAUACUCUAUAUGUUAGUGAUAUGAUGCAAAAAAAUGAACUGUAUUAAUAUAUAACAGUAAUCUUAUUAUUGACUAGAAAAGGCUCAAUGUUAAAUCCCAUUCCUCUUUAGGUUAUAUUUAAUAUGAAUAUGCUAAGCCAGUGAUGUAAUUAAAAGAUUAUUUCGUGUGUG